rnacentral:rRNA from 1 species
GAUGAACGCUGGCGGCGUGCCUAAUACAUGCAAGUCGAGCGAACAGACGAGGAGCUUGCUCCUCUGACGUUAGCGGCGGACGGGUGAGUAACACGUGGAUAACCUACCUAUAAGACUGGGAUAACUUCGGGAAACCGGAGCUAAUACCGGAUAAUAUAUCGAACCGCAUGGUUCAAUAGUGAAAGACGGUUUUGCUGUCACUUAUAGAUGGAUCCGCGCCGCAUUAGCUAGUUGGUAAGGUAACGGCUUACCAAGGCAACGAUGCGUAGCCGACCUGAGAGGGUGAUCGGCCACACUGGAACUGAGACACGGUCCAGACUCCUACGGGAGGCAGCAGUAGGGAAUCUUCCGCAAUGAGCGAAAGCCUGACGGAGCAACGCCGCGUGAGUGAUGAAGGUCUUCGGAUCGUAAAACUCUGUUAUUAGGGAAGAACAAAUGUGUAAGUAACUAUGCACGUCUUGACGGUACCUAAUCAGAAAGCCACGGCUAACUACGUG